GUGCAGCAGUCGCGAAUUUUUCUCAAUGGGGGGCAACCCUGAAGGAGCGACGCCGCGUGGAGGAUGAAGGCUUUCGGGUUGUAAACUCCUGUCAUUUGAGAACAAGUGUAGCCAAAUAACUACUGGCUACUUGAUAGUAUCGGAAGAGGAAGGGACGGCUAACUCUGUGCCAGCAGCCGCGGUAAUACAGAGGUCCCAAGCGUUGUUCGGAUUCAUUGGGCGUAAAGGGUGCGUAGGUGGUGCCGUAAGUGGGGUGUGAAAUUUCGGAGCUUAACUCCGAAACUGCAUUCCAUACUGCGGUGCUUGAGGACUGGAGAGGAGACUGGAAUUCAUGGUGUAGCAGUGAAAUGCGUAGAGAUCAUGAGGAAGACCAGUGGCGAAGGCGGGUCUCUGGACAGUUCCUGACACUGAGGCACGAAGGCUAGGGGAGCGAACGGGAUUAGAUACCCCCGUAGU
rnacentral:rRNA from 1 species